AACGAACGCUGGCGGCGUGCCUAACACAUGCAAGUCGAGGGAGAAAGGGAGCUUCGGCUCCCGAGUAAACCGGCGCACGGGUGAGUAAUACGUAGGUAACGUACCUUCGAGUCUGGGAUAACCAGUCGAAAGACUGGCUAAUACCGGAUACGACCGAGGGGGCUUCGGCUCUCACGGUGAAAGAUGGCCUCUGCUUGCACGCUAUCACUCGAGGAGCGGCCUGCGCACCAUUAGCUAGUUGGUGAGGUAACGGCUCACCAAGGCUGAGAUGGUUAGCUGGUCUGAGAGGAUGGCCAGCCACACUGGGACUGAGACACGGCCCAGACUCCUACGGGAGGCAGCA
rnacentral:rRNA from 1 species